rnacentral:tRNA from 1 species
AUUAUUUUGGCAGAUUAGUGCGAUAGAUUUAGGAUCUUUUUAUGUAGGUUAAUACAAAUAAUA